GAUGAACGCUGGCGGCGUGCCUAAUACAUGCAAGUCGAGCGAACGGACGAGAAGCUUGCUUCUCUGAUGUUAGCGGCGGACGGGUGAGUAACACGUGGAUAACCUACCUAUAAGACUGGGAUAACUUCGGGAAACCGGAGCUAAUACCGGAUAAUAUUUUGAACCGCAUGGUUCAAAAGUAAAAGGCGGUCUUGCUGUCACUUAUAGAUGGAUCCGCGCUGCAUUAGCUAGUUGGUAAGGUAACGGCUUACCAAGGCAACGAUGCAUAGCCGACCUGAGAGGGUGAUCGGCCACACUGGAACUGAGACACGGUCCAGACUCCUACGGGAGGCAGCAGUAGGGAAUCUUCCGCAAUGGGCGAAAGCCUGACGGAGCAACGCCGCGUGAGUGAUGAAGGUCUUCGGAUCGUAAAACUCUGUUAUUAGGGAAGAACAUAUGUGUAAGUAACUGUGCACAUCUUGACGGUACCUAAUCAGAAAGCCACGGCUAACUACGUG
rnacentral:rRNA from 1 species